AACGAACGCUGGCGGCAGGCUUAACACAUGCAAGUCGAGCGCCCCGCAAGGGGAGCGGCAGACGGGUGAGUAACGCGUGGGAAUCUACCCAUCUCUACGGAAUAACGCAUGGAAACGUGUGCUAAUACCGUAUACGUCCUUCGGGAGAAAGAUUUAGCGGAGAUGGAUGAGCCCGCGUUGGAUUAGCUAGUUGGUGGGGUAAAGGCCUACCAAGGCGACGAUCCAUAGCUGGUCUGAGAGGAUGAUCAGCCACACUGGGACUGAGACACGGCCCAGACUCCUACGGGAGACAGCAGUGGGGAAUAUUGGACAAUGGGCGCAAGCCUGAUCCAGCCAUGCCGCGUGAGUGAUGAAGGCCCUAGGGUUGUAAAGCUCUUUCACCGGUGAAGAUAAUGACGGUAACCGGAGAAGAAGCCCCGGCUAACUUCGUGCCAGCCGCCGCAGUAAGAC
rnacentral:rRNA from 1 species